UGGUUGUUCUCCUUUCCUCCAAAAGCCUCCCUUAUUAUCGUGGAUUUCUUAUCCGUCCUUUGCCUUUCCUGAGAAGUGAGAACUACUCGAGAAUCCAAUAGUAACGAUAUCACAUCCACCCUCAUCAUUUCAAACGAUUGAGCAAGUUUGUGGACCCCUGCUCAUCGUAACCGAAAAAAGAUGGACCUUGUAGUGUGGUUGCAUUCUAUUGAUUGGAUAAGGUUUGUUGACUUUGUGAGAUUUAUGUCAUUGAAAAGAGUAGUUUCACAUUCGCUCGUUAAGAGGAAGAUCAUGAGUUUAUAAGUAAGGAACACUAUCUUCAUUGGUACGAUGAUUUUUGGAAAAACCAAAAUCAGAGUUUAUAUUCAAAGUGGACAAUAUCAUACCAUCAUAGAGAUUCGUGGUUUCUAACUAUUUUUAUGCAAACAGAAAUUAAGGAAGUCCUUUCACACGGAGCAGUAAAAUGUUCUAAAUUCUUUACCACUUGUACUGAACAAUUGUGUCUAGAAAUUCAGCUGGAGACUUUAGGUAUUAGAACCGAUUGACUAAAUAGAAAAGAGCGAGAAA